rnacentral:rRNA from 1 species
GGAUUCCCCUAGUAACUGCGAGUGAAGCGGGAAAAGCUCAAAUUUAAAAUCUGGUGGUUCUUGCAGCCAUCCGAAUUGUAAUUUAGAGAAGUGCUAUCCGCGCUGGACCGUGUAUAAGUCUUCUUGAAUGGAGCAUCAUAGAGGGUGAGAAUCCCGUCUUUGACACGGACUACCAGGGCUUUGUGAUGCGCUCUCGAAGAGUCGAGUUGUUUGGGAAUGCAGCUCAAAAUGGGUGGUAAAUUCCAUCUAAAGCUAAAUAUUGGCGAGAGACCGAUAGCGAACAAGUACCGUGAGGGAAAGAUGAAAAGAACUUUGGAAAGAGAGUUAAACAGUACGUGAAAUUGUUGAAAGGGAAACGCUUGAAGUCAGUCGCGUUGGCUGGGAAUCAACCUUGCUCUUUUGCUUGGUGUACUUCCUAGUCGAUGGGUCAACAUCAGUUUUGACUGUUGGAAAAAGACUAGGGGAAUGUGGCAUCUUCGGAUGUGUUAUAGCCUUUAGUUGUAUACAGCAGUUGGGACUGAGGAACUCAGCACGCCGCAAGGCCGGGAUUUAUCCACGUUCGUGCUUAGGAUGUUGGCAUAAUGGCUUUAAUCGA